CCAACGGGUGGCUGCAGUGGGGGAUAUUGCACAAUGGGGGAAACCCUGAUGCAGCAACGCCGCGUGUGGGAAGAAGGUUUUCGGAUUGUAAACCACUGUUCUUGGUGAAGAUAAUGACGGUAACCAAGGAGAAAGCUCCGGCUAACUACGUGCCAGCAGCCGCGGUAAUACGUAGGGCGCAAGCGUUGUCCGGAUUUACUGGGUGUAAAGGGUGCGUAGGCGGCUAGGCAAGUCAGACGUGAAAACCAUGGGCUCAACCUGUGGACUGCGUUUGAAACUGUUUAGCUUGAGUGAAGUAGAGGUAGGCGGAAUUCCCGGUGUAGCGGUGAAAUGCGUAGAGAUCGGGAGGAACACCAGUGGCGAAGGCGGCCUACUGGGCUUUAACUGACGCUGAGGCACGAAAGCAUGGGUAGCAAACA
rnacentral:rRNA from 1 species